rnacentral:rRNA from 1 species
GAUGAACGCUGGCGGCGUGCUUAACACAUGCAAGUCGAACGAUGAUCCCCAGCUUGCUGGGGGGAUUAGUGGCGAACGGGUGAGUAACACGUGAGUAACCUGCCCUUAACUCUGGGAUAAGCCUGGGAAACUGGGUCUAAUACCGGAUAUGACCUCCUGCCGCAUGGGUGGGGGGUGGAAAGCUUUAUUGUGGUUUUGGAUGGACUCGCGGCCUAUCAGCUUGUUGGUGAGGUAAUGGCUCACCAAGGCGACGACGGGUAGCCGGCCUGAGAGGGUGACCGGCCACACUGGGACUGAGACACGGCCCAGACUCUACGGGAGGCAGCAGUGGGGAAUCUUGCGCAAUGGGCGAAAGCCUGACGCAGCGACGCCGCGUGAGGGAUGACGGCCU